GGCUCAGCUCUUGCUAUGGAAACUCCGCAGGUAACCAACGGCGGUUGCCCCACCUACGACAAAGACGUCGC
rfam:Pseudomonas sp. MF4836 contig006, whole genome shotgun sequence.